GACGAACGCUGGCGGCGUGCCUAAUACAUGCAAGUAGAACGCUGAAGGAGGAGCUUGCUCUUCUGGAUGAGUUGCGAACGGGUGAGUAACGCGUAGGUAACCUGCCUGGUGGCGGGGGAUAACUAUUGGAAACGAUAGCUAAUACCGCAUAACAGUAGAUGUUGCAUGACAUUUACUUAAAAGGUGCAAUUGCAUCACUACCAGAUGGACCUGCGUUGUAUUAGCUAGUUGGUGGGGUAACGGCUCACCAAGGCGACGAUACAUAGCCGACCUGAGAGGGUGAUCGGCCACACUGAGACUGAGACACGGCCCAGACUCCUACGGGAGGCAGCAGUAGGGAAUCUUCGGCAAUGGACGGAAGUCUGACCGAGCAACGCCGCGUGAGUGAAGAAGGUUUUCGGAUCGUAAAGCUCUGUUGUAAGAGAAGAACGAGUGUGAGAGUGGAAAGUUCACACUGUGACGGUAUCUUACCAGAAAGGGACGGCUAACUACGUG
rnacentral:rRNA from 1 species